AACAUCGCGCACCUGCGGGAACCUGCGGAAGGAUCAUUAUCGAAUUGUAAGGACUUCAGUUGUCGCUGGCUCCCUCUGGGAGCAUGUGCACGCUGGGUUCAAACUCUUCAUUCUUAACCUCCUGUGCACCUUUUGUGGACUGUGGUCAGAUAACCUGUCGAGGUAACACUCGGUCUUGCAGAUUGCGCCUCACCCGCGCUCACUGCUGCAUCUGACUGCGGUUCAUGUCUUACUACAAAC
rnacentral:misc_RNA from 1 species